CCUACGGGAGGCAGCAGUGAGGAAUAUUGGUCAAUGGGCGCGAGCCUGAACCAGCCAAGUCGCGUGAGGGAAGACGGUCCUAUGGAUUGUAAACCUCUUUUGUCGGGGAGCAAAAGACGCCACGCGUGGCGUUCCGAGAGUACCCGAAGAAAAAGCAUCGGCUAACUCCGUGCCAGCAGCCGCGGUAAUACGGAGGAUGCGAGCGUUAUCCGGAUUUAUUGGGUUUAAAGGGUGCGCAGGCGGAAGAUCAAGGCAGCGGUAAAAUUGAGAGGCUCAACCUCUUCGAGCCGUUGAAACUGGUUUGCUUGAGUGAGUGAGAAGUAGGCGGAAUGCGUGGUGUAGCGGUGAAAUGCAUAGAUAUCACGCAGAACUCCGAUUGCGAAGGCAGCAUACCGGCGCUCAACUGACGCUGAUGCACGAAAGUGUGGGUAUCGAACAGGAUUAGAUACCCCUGUAGUC
rnacentral:rRNA from 1 species